UUUUUUAUAUAAUAACAUAUUAAUUAACUAAUAAAAAUAUUAAUCACACUUAACUUUCGACCUUUGCCCUAGCAAACGCGCGAAGCCGACGCUUUCCUUCUUUCGGUCUCAGCUCGAUCGUGUGAGCUCUCCUUCUUCCUUCGGCCCCGUCUCACCCCAGCAGAGCAUAGGCGCAGAACCUCCUCCUUCCUAUGCACAUGACGAACGCAAGGAUCGUCUCGCCGACUUCGGCUCCCCUUCUCAUCUUCUUUCUUUACGCGAACAAAGCCGCAAUUCCCGUCACUUCCCUUUUCUGCACGCGACGACGACACAUCUUCUUCUCCUUCACCGGUCUCGAUUCCAACUUCACCCACGCCGCGCGAUAGCAGUGCUGGCUUCUAUAACUCCAGGCAACUCAUUACAAGCGACGAAGUCGACUUCUCCUUUCUUCGUUUAGAGCACGAAGUCGUUCGACACAUGAAUUUGUCUUGCAGAUAUGCCCUUGCUUCAGAAGCAACAAAUAAAAUUAUGAACAGUGCUACUAGUACUCUGAAAUUAGUCUCUUUCACCAAGGAAAAGCUACUGUUGCUGUUCCAAAGCCAAAUGGAGAGGAGAAAGGAUUAGGGCUGAAGUUAGGCCAAGAGUCUUGCAGAUAUGCCCUUGCUUCAGAAGCAUAAAUUGUGAACAGUGCUACUAGUACUUUGAAAUUAGUCUCAUUCGCCAAGGAAAAGCUACUUUUGCUGUUCCAAAGCUAAAUGGAGAGGAGAAAGGAUUAGGGCUGAAGUUAGGCCAAAUGGUAAUCUUGAAACUCAUGUCAAAUUUUAUAAAAUGAAUACCACACAUGCAAGGCUAUGGGUGUAAAUGAGUGGUUGAGGUAUAGCCCCCUCCCUCGACCUGUGCUUGAGCUCAACUCUACAAAUUUGAGUCAGCUCGCUAUCUUGAUCAUUUAUAAUGACGGAGCAUAUAAUAUAUCCAUAUAUUUAUUGUAAUAAAAUGACAAAAAUAAUGAGA